CCUCUAAGGCCAAGAAGGAGCCUUCUCUAAUGGCGGAAAUGAUAAACUCUUUAUGAUACUGAAGCAACGAAGAGAGAAGGGACAGUUCAUGAACAGGCACUGGGAUUUGAGGAGGCAGCUGUAUAUUAAGUCAUCAAUCAAUCACUGUUUUCUGUCAAUUAAUUCACUGUACUUUCAACCAUGUGGUGUUUAUGGCCCUUCUCUUCUUCCCUUUGUCUGCUGUACACAAAGUUUCAGCUGGAAGAUUAAUUGUGUGAAUGCUGAACCUGAAUUCAAAUCUGUGCAGAUGAGGUUCUCUCGGUAGCUUUUCUCUUGCUGCAAUCUUGUUUGUCCCUCUUGGUUGGGGAACAGUCAUGCCUUUGUCCUGUUGUCUGAGUUCUGAGGAACAAAGAGCAGAGACAGAGACUGUGGAGGUAACAUGAUUUUGGAUUCUGUCA